rnacentral:rRNA from 1 species
AUUGAACGCUGGCGGCAGGCCUAACACAUGCAAGUCGAACGAGUGGCGGACGGGUGAGUAAUGUCUGGGAAACUGCCUGAUGGAGGGGGAUAACUACUGGAAACGGUAGCUAAUACCGCAUACCAUCAGAUGUGCCCAGAUGGGAUUAGCUAGUUGGUGGGGGAACGGCUCACCAAGGCGACGAUCCCUAGCUGGUCUGAGAGGAUGACCAGCCACACUGGAACUGAGACACGGUCCAGACUCCUAGGGGAUGCAGCAGUGGGGAAGAUUGCACAAUGGGCGCAAGCCUGAUGCAGCCAUGCCGCGUGUAUGAAGAAGGCCAUCGGGUUGGAAAGGACUUUCAGCGGGGAGGGGUUACCCGCAGAAGAAGCACGGGCUAACUCCGUGCCAGCAGCCGCGGUAAUUC